CUUUGCUCCUGAUGACUUCAUGGGCUGGAAAAAUCUGAUUUGGGUCUUUAAAUCCCAGGGUCUCCAGUCCGCUGAAAUCUCCCCAGCCCCCCAGCUCUCUGCUUCUGCAGUCUCUGCCCCAGGCUGAGGGCAUCCGGGCGGCCCUGGCUACACCAAGGCCCCGUCUCAGCUCUGCAGUGAGCGCCUGACGGAGGAGCUGAGUGGUGGUGGGGCCCGGGCCCGUGGGGGACGAGGAGGUCAGAGGAGCAAAAGGGACAAAUAGAACAAGGGAGAGAAGCAACUUUGAUGCCCCUCCCCACCCGCCCCGGAGGAGGAGGUCCCAGAGAACAGGCCGCCCACCUCGAGGGCUGACCACCCUCGUCUUUCACACUGCUACGGUGCUCGUUGUUCGGAUCCGUGAGUCGACCAGAACCCCAGCAUCACUACCACACUGCAAUUUGCUUCUGCCUCAAUGAUGAACAGAUUAGCACAGCGCACCAUCGAGCCACAGCCAGGAAGUGGCCUGAAACCUCAUGCAGGACCUGAGCAACCCAAGCAGGGUCCCGCCGUCCCUCACUUCCGGAUGACACAGAGGGAGAUGAAGUUGAAGCAGACAGCCCACGAGCCUGUGGUCAUGUCAUCCUCAGGCAGUCGUGAGGUGAGCAACUUUGCUCUACCACAUGUUCCCUGCCAUGAUGUUUUGCUUCACCACAGGCCUAAUGCAAUGGAGCAACUGAUUAUUGAUUGAACCUUCUGAAACUAUCAAGAGCGAGUAGUGCCAGGCAUGGUGGUGCACAUUUGUAAUCCCAG
rnacentral:lncRNA from 1 species